UACGUAGGGGGCGAGCGUUGUCCGGAAUCACUGGGCGUAAAGGGUGCGUAGGCGGACUGUUAAGUCUGAUGUGAAAAGCCUAGGCUUAACCUAGGAAGUGCAUUGGAAACUGGGAGUCUAAGAGUGCAGGAGAGGGAAGCGGAAUUCCCGGUGUAGCGGUGGAAUGCGUAGAUAUCGGGAGGAACACCAGUGGCGAAGGCGGCUUCCUGGACUGUAACUGACGCUGAGGCACGAAAGCUGGGGGAGCGAACAGGAUUAGAUACCCUGGUAGUCCCAGCCGUAAACGAUGGAUACUAGGUGUUGGCGGUUCAGACCGUCAGUGCCGCAGCCAACGUGAUAAGUAUCCCGCCUGGGGAGUACGGUCGCAAGACUGAA
rnacentral:rRNA from 1 species